rnacentral:rRNA from 1 species
GAUGAACGCUGGCGGCGUGCCUAAUACAUGCAAGUCGAGCGAACAGACGAGUAGCUUGCUCCUCUGACGUUAGCGGCGGACGGGUGAGUAACACGUGGAUAACCUACCUAUAAGACUGGGAUAACUUCGGGAAACCGGAGCUAAUACCGGAUAAUAUAUUGAACCGCAUGGUUCAAUAGUGAAAGACGGUUUUGCUGUCACUUAUAGAUGGAUCCGCGCCGCAUUAGCUAGGUGGUAAGGUAACGGCUUACCAAGGCAACGAUGCGUAGCCGACCUGAGAGGGUGAUCGGCCACCCUGGAACUGAGCCACGGUCCAGACUCCUACGGGAGGCAGCAGUAGGGAAUGUUCGGCAAUGGGCGAAAGCCUGACGGAGCAACGCCGCGUGAGUGAUGAAGGUCUUCGGAUCGUAAAACUCUGUUAUUAGGGAAGAACAAAUGUGUAAGUAACUAUGCACGUCUUGACGGUACCUAAUCAGAAAGCCACGGCUAACUACGUG